UUUUUUCCUUCCUUUUUUUUCUUCUCAUCCUCCAUUCUUUCCCAUGCGCUUUCUCUCCUCGCUCUGUUCCAUUCUCCUCGGCACUUCGUCGAACAUCUCGCCGUUGCCGGAGAGAGCCGCGCGUCUUCUCUGCCGCGGGAGCUUUCGCGUUUCACUGGUUUCCUGGUGGCGAGAGGGGGAGCGGUGUUCGGUUGAUGGAGUGAUCUGGUGGAGGAGGG
rnacentral:lncRNA from 1 species